AACGAACGCUGGCGGCAUGCCUAACACAUGCAAGUCGAACGAGACCUUCGGGUCUAGUGGCGCACGGGUGCGUAACGCGUGGGAACCUGCCCUUAGGUUCGGAAUAACUCCCCGAAAGGGGUGCUAAUACCGGAUAAUGUCUUCGGACCAAGGAUUUAUCGCCUUUGGAUGGGCCCGCGUUGGAUUAGCUAGUUGGUAGGGUAAAAGCCUACCAAGGCGACGAUCCAUAGCUGGUCUGAGAGGAUGAUCAGCCACACUGGGACUGAGACACGGCCCAGACUCCUACGGGAGGCAGCAGUGGCGAAUAUUGGAAAAUGGCGGAAGGCCUGAUCCAGCAAUGCCGGGUGAGUGAUGAAGGCAUUAGGGUUGUAAAGCUCUUUUACCCGGGAUGAUAAUGACAGUACCGGGAGAAUAAGCUCCGGCUAACUCCGUG
rnacentral:rRNA from 1 species